rnacentral:rRNA from 1 species
AACGAACGCUGGCGGCGUGGAUAAGACAUGCAAGUCGAGCGCGAAUUAUUCCGUAGCAAUACGGAAUAGUUUGAGCGGCGCAAGGGUGCGUAACACGUGGGUAAUUUGCCGUAGAGUUGGGAUAACUCGCUGAAAGGCGAGCUAAUACCGGAUGUGGUUUCGAAGUGGCAUCACUUUGCAACUAAAGCUGGGGACCGCAAGGCCUGGCGCUCUAUGAUAAGCCCGCGGCCUAUCAGCUAGUUGGUGAGGUAACGGCUCACCAAGGCGAAGACGGGUAGCUGGUCUGAGAGGACGACCAGCCACACUGGAACUGAGACACGGUCCAGACACCUACGGGUGGCAGCAGUCGAGAAUUUUUCUCAAUGGGCGCAAGCCUGAAGGAGCGACGCCGCGUGGGGGAUGAAGGGUUUCGAUCCGUAAACCCCUGUCAUUCAUGAACAAUGCUUGCCCAUGAACAAUGGGCAAGUUGAUAGUAAUGGAAGAGGAAGGGACGGCUAACUCUGUGCCAGCAGCCGCGGUAAUACAGAGGUCCCGAGCGUUGUUCGGAUUCACUGGGCGUAAAGGGUGCGUAGGUGGCAUGGUAAGUUUGAUGUGAAAGCUCAGGGCUUAACCCUGAAAUGGCAUUGAAUACUACCGUGCUGGAGGUUUGGAGGGGGGACUGGAAUUCUUGGUGUAGCAGUGAAAUGCGUAGAUAUCA